CAAACAAAACAAAACAAACUGUCAACUCAUUUUUCCUAGCGGCUUCAUUUGAUUUCUGCUGUGCCCGUUCGACGUCGGCUUUGAAUCGCAGAUGUGCCAUCAUGUCUCCAACUUUUGUAGGACUGGAGGGACGGGAGGUUGACUACGAGGUAGAAUUUCUGGAGGAGGAAGCAGAAGCAGGACCAUCAAAUGUGCAGCAGGCAAAACGAUCGUUCCAGGAUACACUGGAUUCUGCUUCGCCCGGAAGCCCUGGAAGUGAAAAUGAUACUGUGUUAUUCAUUGCAGCUAAGGAUUUAGAAGUUGCCGUCUCACAUUUGAAUGAAGAUUUGCGUUCUCUAAGUAGAUGGUUGAAGUGUAAGCAGUUGAAAUUAAAUACAAGUAAAACUAAAUUCAUGGUAAU